rnacentral:ribozyme from 13 species
AAAGGGAAAAAAAUAACAAUUCACAACAGAUAAUAAAGAAGAGGAAGAGAAGACAAAAAAGUGAAAACUCCUUCUUCUUUCUGCUCUCUCUCUUCUCUCUCUCUUCCU